UACAGAGGUGACUAACGUUGUCCGGAAUUAUUGGGCGUAAAGGGCGCGUAGGUGGUUGAGUAAGUCAGGUGUGAAAGCUCUGGGCUUAACCCAGGAAUUGCGUCUGAUACUGCUCGGCUUGAGUACGGUAGAGGAGGGUGGAAUUCCCAGUGUAGCGGUGAAAUGCGUAGAUAUUGGGAGGAACACCGGUGGCGAAGGCGGCCCUCUGGACCGAAACUGACACUGAAGCGCGAAAGCUAGGGGAGCAAACGGG
rnacentral:rRNA from 1 species